AUCUUUGCACAGUGGCAGUAUCAUAGCCCAUGAGGUUCAUCCGAGGCGUGAUUAUUGUUAGUUGAAAACUUUUAUUUAUUUAUUUGUUUAUUUUAACCAGUACAACAAUAAACAUAAUUAGAAUUGAGCUGACAA